GGCUUUCAGGCUCCGCGCAGUCUGCGGGCGGGAGGGUGCCAGCGAGGUGGUGAGGGCGGUGGGUGCGGGGACGCAGCAGCCCUGGCCAAGCCCAGAGACCGGAGGACACCCCCCUCCCAGCGCUCUAACACGGGUAACUUCCCGCUGCCCGGAACGGAGUUUCUCCGUUACCCACGGACAUCCAGGAGGCCGUGUGGAGGGCAAGCAGGGUAACCCCCACUCCUAAACCACCUCUAUCCAAGGGGAGCCCGAGGAGCCAGCAGGUCCGGACACUCUGAGGAGGCUCCUCGUGGGGCCUCCCACGCACAGGAUAUGCAAGAGACAGGACCGACCUGAGCUGGCACGUGGCUGAGAAGCAGAAAUCAUCCAGUCUACAGCCUCUUAAUGUUCUCCCAGCUGGGACCUCUCUGCUCUCUGUGGCCGGGGCCUCAGGACCUCCUGGAAGAGUGGGACAGACCCAGGACAGGGGAGGAGACAGAUUCCAGCUGCCCCCGCAUGCCAGAGCACCAACCGCUCUGUUCCUUACAAGCCUGCCAGGUCCCAGCUCUGCUUCCCUGACCCCAUCUGCAGUCGCAAGCAAGCCCCAGCCCUGGAGGGGCUGCACCCUGCAACCUUCCCACAGCUGUCUCCUUUGGAUCUUUUUGCGGUCUGGGCUUGCUGUUCUCUCGACAGUAGUCAGGAAGCCCUUACCCCAAAAAGUAUCUACGGGAGGCUUGGUCUACAGGGGAGACCCCCAAGGGCUCCAGCCCUCCUUCCUGGCAUUGGGUAGACAUGAGAUCCAAGACAGGCCUGGCUAUUGGAAUCCUGGGCAGAGGGACCUGUGACUGGGAACACCACAGUUGAUCCCAGCAGCCGAGUGAAGAUGGUAAGCCUCUGCGGCAGGAUGAGGUGUCUGCCUGCCGUCCCUUAGCCUGAGUCAGUCACCAUGACCCCCUUUCUCCUGUGAGUCACUACUAGUCCUUCAAAUAAAAUCCUUGACUGCUCAAGUUAACUGAA
rnacentral:lncRNA from 1 species